CCUACGGGAGGCAGCAGUGAGGAAUAUUGGUCAAUGGGCGCGAGCCUGAACCAGCCAAGUAGCGUGAAGGAAGACUGCCCUACGGGUUGUAAACUUCUUUUUUAAAGGAAUAAAGUGAGGCACGUGUGCCUUUUUGUAUGUACUUUAUGAAUAAGGAUCGGCUAACUCCGUGCCAGCCGCCGCGGUAAUACGGAGGAUCCGCACGUUAUCCGGAUUUAUUGGGUUUAAAGGGAGCGUAGAGGGGAUGUUAAGUUAGUUGUGAAAUUGUGCGGCUCAACAGUGAAAUUGCAAUGGAUACUGGCAGUCUAGAGAACAGUAGAGGUAGGUGGAAUUCGUGGUGUAGCGGUGAAAUGCUUAGAUAUCAGGAAGAACUCCGAUUGCGAAGGCAGCUUACUAAGCUGCCACUGACAUUGAGGCUCGAAAGUGUGGGGAGCAAACAGGAUUAGAUACCCCAGUAGUC
rnacentral:rRNA from 1 species